GGCCUUGACAUACUAAGAACUUUCCAGAGAUGGAUUGGUGCCUUCGGGAACUUAGAUACAGGUGCUGCAUGGCUGUCGUCAGCUCGUGUCGUGAGAUGUUGGGUUAAGUCCGCAACGAGCGCAACCCUUUUCCUUAUUUGCCAGCGGGUCAUGCCGGGAACUUUAAGGAUACUGCCAGUGACAAACUGGAGGAAGGCGGGGACGACGUCAAGUCAUCAUGGCCCUUACGGCCAGGGCUACACACGUGCUACAAUGGUCGGUACAAAGGGUUAGCUACCUCGCGAGAGGAUGCUAAUCUCAAAAAGCCGAUCGUAGUCCGGAUCGCAGUCUGCAACUCGACUGCGUGAAGUCGGAAUCGCUAGUAAUCGCGGAUCAGAAUGCCGCGGUGAAUACGUUCCCGGGCCUUGUACACACCGCCCGUCACACCAUGGGAGUUUGUUGCACCAGAAGUAGGUAGUCUAACCGCAAGGAGGACGCUUACCACGGUGUGGCCGAUGACUGGGGUGAAGUCGUAACAAGGUAGGCGUACUACA
rnacentral:rRNA from 1 species